UGCUUCCUACACACUUCCUGUGUGCUUCCUGUUUCUUAGACUAACCCAUGGAUGGCCAAGACAGAACACUCCUGUCUAGGUAUAAACCUUUUCCUUCGUGUUCUUCUUCAUGUUGUCAGGGGUCAGAUGGGAACAUGCCCUCAUUCUGAAAGCUCCAGCUCGGCAAUGACCCUCCAGCUGGGAAAAAAAUGAUGCUCUUUGUUGACUGCGCCGAGUCGUCUGGGCACAUGCAGCAUUUUGAAGUGUUGCAAAGAUGGUAAAUAUUGCAAGGCAGGAACAAUCUGGAUUGCAAUAUAAAUAAGGACAGUCCUGACAAAUCAUUUUAGCAUAAAGGCAUCAGUUGAACUGAAGAAGUCCUAACCAUCAGGCAUCACUGUGGUUGAGAAGAAAUAUUCAAAACCCAUCAGCUCUUGCCCUGAUUCUGCAAUCCUGAAGUAACAUCUUGACUAUUCACUUGGCUUCCAACUGAUCCUGUUGCUAUAAAACUAUUCCCCAAAAUAUUAAAACAAUGUCUGUGUGCCUGGCAUCCUGGAUGAGCUGGAGAAUUAAUUUGAGGAAUGUCUUACCAUCAUUGAAGACAUUGUUCAGAAAAAUGAUGCUGGUGUUCCCCCUUUGACAUCACAGGCUGACGGGACUCUCACUGGACUGGGGCAUCUCUAUGCAGCUGCUAUGCAGCUGCAAGGAGAACACUUGAUGUUAAUAGUGUUAUGGAAUGAAACUCGAAUAUCCUCGUCUGAGCCACUUUGCUUUCUCUAGAGAGAAGGUGUCAGACAUCCUUUCCGGGAUGGUACUUUCGAGCAUCAUGACGCUGCUCCUGUUGCUCCUGCCUGGAAACCAAACACACCACUGGAAGCUUAGGUGUGAAAACACCCAGAUCUGCAUGUCAACAUCCAAUUCCUGAGGAUCCUUGGGGAGAGCCUCGCUAGGGGAGAGGACAAAUUUAUAAAGGAGAUUAGCUGCAUGUAAACAGUGAAAGCAUGGAGAUGUGGUUAGCACUUUCCAAGUUUUGGAGCUGGGUAUUCUGUUGUGGAUAGCUAUAGCACUAGGUUAUAAUAGAGUAUGUAAGCUCUACCUCAAUAAAACAGAUCAUUAAAACAACAACACUGUAUGCUUACUUUGACUCUAGAAUUAGUGUCUCCAAUAGGUUGGUGGGUGUUCUGGAAUUUCAGUUCAGUUUUAUCAGCUUCUUGGGCACAGAGAAAUAGAUAGCAUUGCUCAUCCCUCAAGGUAUUUUAAUUAAAUUCACUGUCUUCUAAAGCAUGCAAAACUGAUUUAACAUCAUGCAAAGUGUUUUCUAGUGCCAGAAUCUGCUUUGAAAGUAACUGCAAGGCAAGAUGGCUCAGCCAGGAAAAGGUACUUACCAUGGAAGCCUAUUGAUCUGAGGUUAGUCCCUGGAACACAUGUAAUGAUCGAAAGAGAGACAUGACUCCACAAAGCUGUCCUCUGAGUUCCUUCCACACAUGUGCUGUGGCGUAUGAGCCCUUCCCCACAACAACAACAAAUAACAAUAACGACAAAAACAAACAACAACAAUAAUUUAAAGUAAUUAAUGUCACUAAUGGUUUCUGCUUAGAACUAAAGUCUAUGAGAGCACUUAUUUUUAUCUUCUCUUCAGUUAUCAAGGAAGUUAAUAAAAGCAAGUGUUGUGGUAAACAGGUAGAAGAGGGACGGUACAAUCCUGGGUUUCCUUGUGAAGACACGGAAAGCAAGGAAUCCUUGGGAACAGUCACCUGAGUCGGUGACAAACUCUGGCGUGAUCUAAUGAGUAAACGGUGUGCUAGGAAGAAUGCACACACAAAUCCAUGUUGUAAAGUUCAACAUAUGUUCCACAUGAUGAUUGGUAAAUAGAAGAGUCUAACCGCAAAAAACAAUUCAAAGAGAAGCACACAAACAAGCUUGGCUAAAGUUAACAGACUAAAAACAUAUGGUCUACUUUUUUCCCCUUUUCAUGGUUAUAACAUACUUUGAUAUCAAGGAGACAUAUCCUUUCAGUGAUUAUGAUGGCUGCCUGUCCUAGGCUUUCAGCUCAAUUCUCCCACACACUAGCUUUGGGGGCUCAUUUACUUUGGACAAGUUAGUUUGAUUCCUAGUUGUGGGUGUGUAUGUGUGUCCAUGUUCCCAUGUGAGUGUGGAAGUCAGAGGUCAGUGUUUGGGGUCUUCCUCAAUUUUCUUUUCCCCUUACUCGUUCAAGAGGCUACAGGGCUCCUCUGUCAUGGUCCCUUGCCCUCCAGCUCUGGGAUUGCAUACACAUGUCUGCACACACAGCUUUUAUAUGGGUGUUAGAGAUGCAAACUCGGGGCCCCAUGCUGACACAGGGGCUGC